rnacentral:rRNA from 1 species
GGGUCUGUNUCAGAUUAGCCAUGCAUGUCUAAGUAUAAGCAACUUAUACCGUGAAACUGCGAAUGGCUCAUUAAAUCAGUUAUCGUUUAUUUGAUAUUACUUUACUACUUGGAUAACCGUGGUAAUUCUAGAGCUAAUACAUGCUAAAAACCCCGACUUCGGAAGGGGUGUAUUUAUUAGAUAAAAAACCAUCNCUUCGGACUUUUUGGUGAUUCAUAAUAACUAAACGUAGCGCAUGGCCUUGUGCUGGCGCAAAAUCAUUCAAAUACCUGCCCUAUCAAGUGGAUGUGAGGGUAGUGUCCUCACAUGCUUUCNACGGGUAACGGGGAAUUAGGGUUCGACUCCGGAGAGGGAGCCUGAGAAAUGGCUNCCACAUCCAAGGAAGGCAGCAGGCGNGCAAAUUACCCAAUCCCGACUCGGGGAGGUAGUGACAAGAAAUACCGAUACAGAACUCUUUUGGGUUUUGUAAUUGGAAUGAGUACAAUUUAAAAACAUUAACGAUUAACAACUAGAGGGCAAGUCUGGUGCCAGCAGCCGCGGUAACUCCAGCUCUAGUAGCGUAUAUUAAAGUUGUUGCAGUUAAAAAGCUNGUAGUUGAACCUUGGUCUUGGCUAGCUGGUCCGCCUCACCGCGUGUACUGGUCGGCCGAGACUUUCCUCUUGGGGAACCGCAUGCCCUUUACUGGGUGUGUUGGGAAACCANGACUUUUACUUUNAAAAAAUUAGAGUGUUCAAAGCAGGCAAUUGCUCGGAUACAUUAGCAUGGAAUAAUANAAUANNACGUGUGGUUCUAUUUUGUUGGUUUCUAGGACCGCCGUAAUGANUAAUAGGGAUAGUCGGACAUCAGAUUUAUCCCGCGCGCUUAAUUUGACUCAACACGGGGAAACUCACCAGGUCCAGACACAACUAGGAUUGACAGAUUGAGAGCUCUUUCUUGAUUUUGUGGGUGGUGGUGCAUGGCCGUUCUUAGUUGGUGGAGUGAUUUGUCUGCUUAAUUGCGAUAACGAACGAGACCUUAACCUGCUAAAUAGCCCAACUGGCUUUGGCUGGCUGCUGGCUUCUUAGAGGGACAUUCGGCUCAAGCCGACGGAAGUUUGAGGCAAUAACAGGUCUGUUAUGCCCUUAGAUGUUCUGGGCCGCACGCGCGCUACACUGACAGAGCCAGCGGGUUCUCUCCUUAACCGAAAGGUUUGGGUAAACCUAGAAACUCUGUCGUGCUGGGGAUAGAGCAUUGCAAUUAUUGCUCUUCAACGAGGAAUGCCUAGUAAGCGCAUGUCAUCAGCAUGCGUUGAUUACGUCCCUGCCCUUUGUACACACCGCCCGUCGCUACUACCGAUUGAAUGAUCAAGUGAGGCAUUCUGACUGGNCUGGGGAUGUUGGCAACNACAACCCUGGGCUGGAAAGUUUUUCAAACUUGGUCAUUUAGAGGAAGUAAAA